rnacentral:rRNA from 1 species
GACGAACGCUGGCGGCGUGCUUAACACAUGCAAGUCGAACGGAAAGGCCCUGCUUUUGUGGGGUGCUCGAGUGGCGAACGGGUGAGCAACACGUGAGUAACCUGCCCUUGACUUUGGGAAAACUUCAGGAAACUGGGGCUAAUACCGGAUAGGAGCUCCUGCUGCAUGGUGGGGGUUGGAAAGUUUCGGCGGUUGGGGAUGGACUCGCGGCUUAUCAGCUUGUUGGUGGGGUAGUGGCUUACCAAGGCUUUGACGGGUAGCCGGCCUGAGAGGGUGACCGGCCACAUUGGGACUGAGAUACGGCCCAGACUCCUACGGGAGGCAGCAGUGGGGAAUAUUGCACAAUGGGCGGAAGCCUGAUGCAGCAACGCCGCGUGCGGGAUGACGGCCUUCGGGUUGUAAACCGCUUUCGCCUGUGACGAAGCGUGAGUGACGGUAAUGGGUAAAGAAGCACCGGCUAACUACGUG